AUAAAGUUAUUGUGUCCAUCUACAAUUUUUAAAAUAAUAUUUAAAAAAUAAAUAAAAAAGAGCUGAGGAUGUAGUUCAGUGGUAGAGUGCCCCUGGGUUCAAUCCCCAGAACCUGUCUCAAAUUAAAAAUUAAAAAUGUAGGGCUGGGGAUGUGGCUCAAGCGAUAGCGCGUUCGCCUGGCAGGCGUGCAGCCGGGGUUCGAUCCUCAGCACCACAUACAAACAAAGAUGUUGUGUCUGCCGAAAACUAAAAUAAAUAUUAAAAAAUUCUCUCUCUCUCUCUCACACACUCUCACUUUCUAAAAAAAAAUAAAAUAAAAAUGUAGUUUAGUAGCCAUCCACACAAGAUUGUGGACCCUGGAUGGGUAAGGUGUCACAUAUCUCCUGUACUAUAUGCCAUCAUGCCCAACUGGUUGACUCACUUGUUGUAAACCCAGCUACAGGGGGAGGCACACGGAGGCAGGAGGAUCACAAAUUUAAGGCCAUCUUGGGCAAUUUACCAAGACCCCGUCUAAACAACCAACCAAACAAAAACACUAGGUCCCUGUCAUUUAGCCACUUGCCUUCCCAUAACUGGGCUCAUACUGUUUUGGUUCCUUUCUGCUAAGAAUGUCCUCCCAACUUUACUUUUUUGGAUCCUGUGUCUUUGAAUUGUCUUUUAAUCUUCAUCAUGUUACCGAAAGCUCAGUCCCUGUCCCUGAUGCUAAUCCAAUAACCAGGGCAUGGUUUUGAGAAAAAGAAAAAAGAAGUUUUACUGUUUUGCUAGCAAAGGAGAAACACUGGAGACUCCUGUCCAAGAGGCUGUGAUUUUGCCCAUAAGAAAAAAAUCAUAGGGCUUUUAAAGAAGCUAUUAAAAGGUUACAUUCCAGGUGUGCCUUGAUGGUGUGUUGAAAAUUCACUUGUUAAUUUAGGAGACAGUCACUUCCUAAUUCUUCUGGUGAUAUCUCCUUCCUGUGGAGAA
rnacentral:lncRNA from 1 species